AUUGCUUCUCGGCCUAAUGGCUAAAAUCAAUACUAGUAUCUGUUCUUAUUUCGGCUCCGGACUAUCUUUCAAUUGGUUUCGGUGUUGUUAGACAGCGUAAGAUCGAAACUGUGAUAGUCGAUAGAGGUUCUUGGCGUUGUCGCUUUUUGUUGUCUCCUUUUACAUCCGGGAAUCUCAAAGCAAUCCGU